GAUGAACGCUGGCGGCGUGCCUAACACAUGCAAGUCGAACGAAGCACCUUACCUUAUUCUUCGGCUGACAGUUUGGUGACUGAGUGGCGGACGGGUGAUUAACGCGUGGGUAACCUGCCCUGUACAGGGGGAUAACAGCUGGAAACGGCUGCUAAUUCCGCAUACGCGCACGAGGAGACAUCUCCUUGUGUGAAAAACUCCGGUGGUACAGGAUGGGCCCGCGUCUGAUUAGCUGGUUGGCAGGGUAACGGCCUACCAAGGAAACGAUCAGUAGCCGGUCUGAGAGGAUGAACGGCCACAUUGGAACUGAGACACGGUCCAAACUCCUACGGGAGGCAGCAGUGGGGAAUAUUGCACAAUGGGGGAAACCCUGAUGCAGCAACGCCGCGUGAGUGAAGAAGGAUUUCGGUAUGUAAAGCUCUAUCAGCAGGGAAGAUAAUGACGGUACCUGACUAAGAAGCUCCGGCUAAAUACGUG
rnacentral:rRNA from 1 species